UCUGCCCACAGCAUUAACUCCGUCACACCGCUGAAUUAUCACAGCCUAGAAAUCUCUGUCUCUCCCCUCCGCCGCCCGGCUCUCGAGUCCCAGAUCUCUCCCUCUCUCGUCCCUCUAAUUCAGAAGCGAGUGAAUUCAGAGGAACCGUCACCCCCGGCAUCGCGAUGCUCGACAUUUUCAUCCUGAUGUUUUUCGCCAUUAUCGGACUUCUUGUUCUGUCGUAUAUAAUUUACUUGCUGUGAGAGCUGAACCGACCGAGAGAAACGUCAUAGACAAUGAACCCAGGGCCGGAGGCGCACCUGCGGGCUGCCGAACCGACCUGCACACUGAUGCUUGACAUCUCCGGAUGGACUAAUGGACAGAAGGACGGAGCGAGAGACUGCUGGGAAUGUCCUCUGAGCCUUGAGGGAGAGGGAAAGACAGACCACAGCUCCCUCACUGUCCCGUCUCCACAGUCCUUCCACUCCCUCCUCAGCUCUAACCACUAGAGCCACACUGCCUCCCUCCCAGUCCCUCCUCAGCUCUAACCACUAGAGCCACACUGCCUCCCUCCCAGUCCCUCCUCAGCUCUAACCACUAGAGCCACACUGCCUCCCUCCCAGUCCCUCCUCAGCUCUAACCACUGGAGCCACACUGCCUCCUUCCCAGUCCCUCCUCAGCUCUAACCACUAGAGCCACACUGCCUCCCUCCCAGUCCCUCCUCAGCUCUAACCACUAGAGCCACACUGCCUCCCUCCCAGUCCCUCCUCAGCUCUAACCACUAGAGCCACACUGCCUCCCUCCCAGUCUCUCCUCAGCUCUAACCACUAGAGCCACACUGCCUCCCUCCCAGUCCCUCCUCAGCUCUAACCACUAGAGCCACACUGCCUCCCACCCACUCCCUCCUCAGCUCUAACCACUAGAGCCACACUGCCUCCCUCCCAGUCCCUCCUCAG